rnacentral:rRNA from 1 species
UGGGGAAUCUUGCGCAAUGGGCGAAAGCCUGACGCAGCCAUGCCGCGUGAAUGAUGAAGGUCUUAGGAUUGUAAAAUUCUUUCACCGGGGACGAUAAUGACGGUACCCGGAGAAGAAGCCCCGGCUAACUUCGUGCCAGCAGCCGCGGUAAUACGAAGGG